AUGGCAAACAGGCGGAAGCCUGUGACGCAAAACUACAGGGUCUAAGCGAUUAAGUACGACAGCCAGUUGCAG
rnacentral:ncRNA from 1 species